GCAAGUAUCCGCGUUCCAGUGCGUACGCCCCGGGUUCCCUAUCCAGGUCGACGGGAGCGAACAUCAGGCACACCCCAUUACAACCGUAGCCCAAGACGCCCAGCAAUUGCCACACCCCCACGGGUCCUCAGCAGUAGUUAAUAUUAAGCUAUGAGUGAAAACUUGACUUAGUUAUAGCAAUUUAGGGCCGGUAAAUCCUGUGCCAGCCACCGCGGUCAUACAGGAGGCCCAAAUCAACAUUAUCGACGGCGUAAAGUGUGGUCACAUGUUAUCCAAGUAACUAAGAUUAAAAAGCAACUGAGUUGUCACAAGCCCAAGAUGCUCAUAAGGCCGCUAUUCAAAGAAAAUCUUAGACUAACGAUUAAUUGAAUCCACGAAAGCCAGGGCCCAAACUGGGAUUAGAUACCCCACUAUGCCUGGCCGUAAAUCUUGAUGCUCGAUCUUACCGGAGCAUCCGCCUGAGAACUACGAGCACCAACGCUUAAAACUCUAAGGACUUGGCGGUGUCCCAAACCCACCUAGAGGAGCCUGUUCUAUAAUCGAUGAUCCACGAUAUACCUGACCAUUCCUUGCCAGAACAGCCUAUAUACCGCCGUCUCCAGCCCACCCACCAUGAAGGCCCAACAGUGGACGCAAUAGCCUAACCCGCUAGUAAGACAGGUCAAGGUAUAGCCCAUGGAAUGGAAGCAAUGGGCUACAUUUUCUAGACUAGAACAUUACGGCAAAGGGACGUGAAACGUCCCUGGAAGGCGGAUUUAGCAGUAAAGUGGGACAAUCGAGCCCUCUUUAAGCCGGCCCUGGGGCAUGUACAUACCGCCCGUCGCCCUCCUCAAAAGCGC
rnacentral:rRNA from 1 species